CGGCGGACGGGUGAGUAACGCUGGGUAACCUACCCUGUACACACGGAUAACAUACCGAAAGGUAUGCUAAUACGGGAUAAUAUAUUUGAGAGGCAUCUCUUAAAUAUCAAAGGUGAGCCAGUACAGGAUGGACCCGCGUCUGAUUAGCUAGUUGGUAAGGUAACGGCUUACCAAGGCGACGAUCAGUAGCCGACCUGAGAGGGUGAUCGGCCACAUUGGAACUGAGACACGGUCCAA
rnacentral:rRNA from 1 species